rnacentral:rRNA from 1 species
AUUGCACGCUGGCGGCAGGCCUAACACAUGCAAGUCGAGCGAGCGGCGGACGGGUGAGUAAUGUAUGGGGACUGCCCGAUAGAGGGGGAUAACUACUGGAAACGGUGGCUAAUACCGCAUACUAUCGGAAAACCCAUAUGGGAUUAGCUAGUAGGGGGGGUAAAGGCUCACUUAGGCGAAGAUCGCUAGCUGGUCUGAGAGGAUGAUAAGCCACACUGGGAGUGAGACACGGCCCAGACUCCUACGGCGGCAGCAGUGGGGAAUAGUGCACAAUGGGCGCAAGCCUGAUGCAGCCAUGCCGCGUGUAUUAAGAAGGCCUUAGGGUUGUAAAGUACUUUCAGCGGGGAGGCGUUACCCGCAGAAGAAGCACCGGCUAACUCCGUGCCAGCAGCCGCGGUAAUUC